GCCGAUGAAUGCAUGAAGC
rnacentral:misc_RNA from 1 species